UCACUCACCUCAUUGGUUACAGAUCUUGGA
rnacentral:piRNA from 1 species